GAUGAAGAACGUAGCGAAAUGCGAUAAGUAAUGUGAAUUGCAGAAUUCAGUGAAUCAUCGAAUCUUUGAACGCACAUUGCGCCCGCCAGUAUUCUGGCGGGCAUGCCUGUUCGAGCGUCAUUUCAACCAUCAAGCCCCCGGGCUUGUGUUGGGGACCUGCGGCUGCCGCAGGCCCUGAAAAGCAGUGGCGGGCUCGCUGUCACACCGAGCGUAGUAGAUUUUAUCUCGCUCUGGGCGUGCUGCGGGUUCCGGCCGUUAAACCACCCUUUUAACCCAAGGUUGACCUCGGAGCAGGUAGGAAGACCCGCUGAACUUAAGCAUAUCAAUAAGCGGAGGA
rnacentral:misc_RNA from 1 species